rnacentral:tRNA from 1 species
GGAGGAUUCGCCUAGAGGCCUAGGGCGCCGCACUGCUAAUGCGGUUGGGGGCAACCCCCUCAUGGGUUCAAAUCCCAUAUCCUCCG